rnacentral:rRNA from 5 species
ACUUCUGAAUGUUGACCUCGGAUCAGGUAGGAAUACCCGCUGAACUUAAGCAUAUCAAUAAGCGGAGGA